AUUGAACGCUGGCGGCAUGCCUUACACAUGCAAGUCGAACGGUAACAGGUCUUCGGAUGCUGACGAGUGGCGAACGGGUGAGUAAUACAUCGGAACGUGCCCGAUCGUGGGGGAUAACGGAGCGAAAGCUUUGCUAAUACCGCAUACGAUCUACGGAUGAAAGCAGGGGACCGCAAGGCCUUGCGCGGACGGAGCGGCCGAUGGCAGAUUAGGUAGUUGGUGGGAUAAAAGCUUACCAAGCCGACGAUCUGUAGCUGGUCUGAGAGGACGACCAGCCACACUGGGACUGAGACACGGCCCAGACUCCUACGGGAGGCAGCAGUGGGGAAUUUUGGACAAUGGGCGCAAGCCUGAUCCAGCCAUGCCGCGUGCAGGAUGAAGGCCUUCGGUUGGUAAACUGCUUUGUACGGAACGAAAGACUCUUUCUAAUAAAGAGGGUCCAUGACGGUACCGUAAGAAUAAGCACCGGCUAACUACGUGCCAGCAGCCGCGGU
rnacentral:rRNA from 1 species